rnacentral:lncRNA from 1 species
AUCUAUAGAUAUAGAUAUAUAUAUAUCUAAAUUUAGAGAUUCUUGGGUGGUUUUCAGUGUGGAAACAUCUCAAUCUCUUUUGCUUUUGGGAGCUCUUGACUGAUUAGCCCAUUUAUGAUGUAGUAUCAAUUAUGUUUAACAAAGGAAAUAUUCUCUCACUUCCAUUGUGAGGCUUUUAUAAAUGUUUUCCCCACAUCAGCAUCUAAUUUCUUUUGUUGUGCUAUCUUCUAUACUUCUUUCUCUCUUUCCUUUUAUUCUUUUUAUUUUUUUUUGCCUUUCCUCUGAUAUGAGAUAUAUGAGAUGUAUCUUUAGAUGAUAUAGCUCAUCAGUUACAUGAGCACCGAAAUGAUUUGCCAGCACAGGGAGGUUACGUUUCAUUCAGAACCACAUUUAUCAAAGGGAAGAGCAACUCAGACUUUGACUUUCUGGCUGUCAGAGCUGUGCAGAUCUGGAUAUAUGUGGACCCUGCUGCACAUACAGUUCUACUGUUGGCUGUGAGAUUUUGAAGCCUUGGUGUCCUCACCUCCAACCGAAGGAUGAGAAAUGAGAUCAUGCAGCCUAGAAGUGACACACAUCACUUGUGCUUGCAUUCCAUUGGUAAGAAGUGGUCACAUAAUCUCUGGCUGAGUGACAACUCCACAUUCUGGAAGAUGAAGCACAAGUUGUACGUGGAGAGGUGGCCUUCUCUACCACUGAUUGCAGCUCAGCAAGCGGAUGGCAAGAAGGAAAACAGAGAAACAAGAUCAAAACACCUAUUGCAUCUUGGAAACCUGGGGAUGUUCAGACCCCUCAAGACAACUUUGAAGUUGAUUCUUCAAAAGCUAGAAAAAUGUAAUUGGCACCUGGAUGGACACAUUUAUAGGAGCACCUUUGGUUGUCAGUCAUAAUCAUAAAUUGUCUUAUUGUUCUGCUAUGUAUGUUAAAGUGAAAAUUUUGAGAUUAUCCAAUAAAUUAUUGCAGAAUUUCA